GACCCCUUAGCUCAGUGGUAGAGCGUGUGAUUCCAGAAAAAUUUGAUCAGUAAAUAUGGCAUCCACAAGGUCAAGCGUUCAACUCGCUUAGGGGUCA